UACGUAGGGGGCAAGCGUUGUCCGGAAUCAUUGGGCGUAAAGAGCGUGUAGGCGGUCCGAUAAGUCCGCUCUGAAAGCCCGGGGCUCAACCCCGGGAGGCGGGCGGAUACUGUCGGGCUAGAGUCCGGAAGAGGCGAGUGGAAUUCCCGGUGUAGCGGUGAAAUGCGCAGAUAUCGGGAGGAACACCAAUGGCGAAGGCAGCUCGCUGGGACGGUACUGACGCUGAGACGCGAAAGCGUGGGGAGCAAACAGG
rnacentral:rRNA from 1 species